GGUGGAUGUAGUUCAGUUGGUUAGAGCAUCAGAUUGUGGUUCUGAGUGUCGUGGGUUCGAGUCCCAUCAUCCACCCCCA
rnacentral:tRNA from 1 species